UUGAAACGUCGUAAAGUUACUGUGUAUUUUGUCUUUGUUAGUAAUUAAACUUAUUAAAGAACACGCAACAGAUAAAACGACAAUAUAUUGACAUUACAUGCAAUAAAUUAGUUAUUGCCGUUUAAAUCACAGAUGCAGACUGGCACUAAAGAGAUAGGAGAGGUGAUUUUGAAUCGUGAUGCAUUAAUAGGCUAACGUUAGGUCUUUUAAGUUCCUUGGUCUGCCCCACAUUACUCCGCUCUAAUUAAUAACCAGUACAUCACUGUUAAGUAAAAUUUGACCCAGGGCUAUCCCGCUUUCCAUAUGCAAAUCCGCGUGUUGCAGCUUUGGCCAUCACCAUGCAUACAUUUAAAAGCAUCUUUUCAGUCCCGCAUCUCAAUGCAGAUAUCUCGAUUUGAUCAUCGUUUAUUCGACGCUCAGGUCUCAUUGGCUAGAUUUAUAUGCGGGUAUAACAGCAUGUCAAAGCAACAUAAAUCGUCCGUUUUAGCUGUUAAUCUACGACAAAAGACGAACUGAUGUCAUUUUGUAGCCUCUUCGUUUUGUCCGAAUUAUGGUUUCGUCUUGCGGUAAAAUCUGUAGCUACAGCCCAGCGAGCGCACGGACAGAAGAAUUUUUCCAUGGUUCCCCUGGUUUGUGAGAUGUCCGCAGCUUUGAAAAACACUGGUGUAAAGAUGGCAUGGAUUGGAGAGGCCCGCUGUGCUGCUGCUGCUGCCCACACACCGGUGCAGUUGCACUGUUUGGCCGCCGGAGGGCAGCGCGGGACCGGAACACAGUGGCAGCGGAGGGAGGGGGGAAAGGGAAGGCGGUCGAGAGAUCGCUGGCCGUGCAACACGGACUAUAGUUCAUCUCACGGGUCAGCGCAUAUUUUAAACAGCCUUUAUUACACUAACCCAGACCCCUGUUUUUUCCCCUCCCGUUUUUAAAUCCGUUUACUGAGGGUCUUUUAUAAGCAGAAAUGUGAAAAGUGCUGACUGCUAACGUUAUUCCCAUUUUGAGGAUAUCUGACCUCAUCAAAUUACAGUUGGGGUUUUGAAUAUUUCAUAUUUGAUCAAAAGCCCUUUACAAGCUGCACACAUACACAUGGGCCGACAUGGGGCAUGAUCAAUUUUUAAAACUCCAAUCAUUAUGCACAAAUUGACCCACAAUGCCCACUUUAAUUCAGGUAUUUAUUAAGAAACCUUUGCAACCAUUUCACUUGUAUUAUUUCAAAGGUGUCUGUAAUGAAAGCCUAGGCAUAUAGUGUCUAGCAUUAGCCUUUUGUGCUAUAAGUUUGGUGCUUGCACGUAAAGCGAUUCAUGCACUCUGGUUGCUAUCGAACUGCACAACACUGCAGUUCCCCUUUUAACCCCCCAUCGAAAACACUUUAAAAUGGCCAGCCUAGGACGGAGGCCAAUACUGGCCUUGGCUGUACCUUGAAUAAUGAAUAAUUCAUCUGUUUGACCUUUAGCUGAAGUUUAUUGGAGGGUGAAGGCAUCCUGCUGGCCUGCCUGCUGCCUGGCCCAGCUUGAGCUCUGUUUCCCCUCUCAGUCACGUCUCCUUCGAUAUCCUCGCCUUCUCUCGCUGUCACCAAGUGAGGUGUGAGGACACAAAAUGUCUUGACCAUCAAAGUUCCUCGCCGUGUCUUGGUCUUGUGUUUUGACUUGUUUUGAAGGUCAGGUUUGUUACGUCCACCUAUAUUAAACAUAACCUCUGACCCAGCAUGAGUUGCUCAGAAUCAUGGGAUCGUCCUCCUGUUGUGUGUCUACCCUGUGAAACAUAUUGUAUGUUAACGUAAAUCCAGUGUGCAGAAUGACAGUGAGUGAUUGCUCUGAAUUGGUUGCAUGUUUUAGAACUACGUUAGUUUUCAAUUAAUCCUCGAUUCCAGCAUCCCAACAGUCCCAUGAGCUCUUUCGCAAUGAAAUGGCUGACUGGACUGUUUUACCUGUCGCCUUAGGCUGGUGCUAAAUGUCAUUGACAUUAAAUUUCCUUUAAGUCUGAUUUAAUUGUGUCACUGGUGGUUUCUGUCCUCAACUGGCCAAAUAUGUCAAAUUCUGCUCGUUCCAUUUCCCUUAGCUUAUGCUCUAAAAUGGGUUAUGUCUGCUCAUCCUGUUUUGCAAUAUUAACAUGCCCUUCACGGCUAAGACUGAGGGUUUGAGUGGUUAUCAAAUGGGCACUUUCAAAAUCUCUAUAUAUUGAUAAUUUGUUUGAAAACAUUUGCAUUUGAAAGGUUUUAUACCAAAAGUAUCUCCAAGGACACCAUCAAGGAUAAUUUGUUUCCUUCUAAAAUAAAUGCUUACUUUGUCCUUAUUAUCCAGAAGUACAUUUUCUUAUAUUCAAAAAGUUAGAGCUAAAGAUUUAAAUAUGCAGAAAAUUGUGAGUUUAAAUAUGUUGUAAAUGUGGCAACAGUUCUCAGGAAUACUUGAUGCACUGGUCAAUUGUGGAAUGUAGAUAUUUCAGUGUUUGGUAUCUCACAUGACCAUAUCUGGACAACUGAAACAUGUUAUUUUUCAUGUCUCCAUGUCACAUAGCAAACUCGCUCUCUAUAAAGUGCUGCAGUCGGUUCUGGAUGCAAAAAUCCUAUUCAUUUUCUCCAUAGAGGAACUGAUUUUUAAUGACGUACAACAGUGAAAUUCCUAAUUGAAAACUACAUUACCCAUGAUUCUGCAACAAAUCUCCACUGAUUAGAGUAAAUCGUGCUGAAAUAACACUUUAGUGCCUGUCCAUUUCCAUGAACCAUUGUGAAUAAUGAACGAAAGUCUCCCUGCACUAAUUCUUUGCACUAAACUUAAAAUACAUUGUCAGUGUUAAUUUGAUUGUCAUUUGCAAUUGGAUCGUGUUCUUUUCUUCAUUAAAGCUGUUAAGUAUACAGUUUUGUACUUUAGACCCCCACCCCCAGUUCUCAAAUGGGUUUUUGCUUCAAAUCUGAGUUUGCAAUGUGAUUCACCAUGUAGCUGGUUAGUUGGUUCAUGGCUGAUAACUCUUUAACAAUGACUUUUUUUAAAAUCCUUACAGAGAAAAAUAUUUCCACAACAAAGGUUGCUAAAAAAAAGUGUGUCAUCACUAUAGCACCUUAUUGUGUCAUACCAAAGCAGUUCCCAUCAUCAUGAAGUUAUGAAAAUGACCUCAGUAUUAAAGGGAUCAUAUCAUGAACUGCAAUGACCAGAUCACUGCAUUCAUGCACUCAACAGUCUGUCUUGGUGUCAAUAAAAGCUAUUUUUGGACUAAAAAUGAAGUUUUGAGUUUGAAAACUUACAGGAUGUUUAUAUAGUACAAUGACCUCUUACAUAUCAAAAGAUCAAAGAAAAUUAGAUUUCUCAAUUCAUGAUCCUUUUAAUUUAACACUAAUAUUGUUACAGUGUUUGUCUUGUUACAGUGCUUAUUGUUUAGUAGGUUGUAGUAGAAUAUUUUUAGUGGAAGAUUUAUGAUUGGUUUAAUACACG